GGUCGGGGAAGUGGUCAAGUAAAAGGUCAGGUUAGUGGUCGGGGAAGUGGUCAAGUAAAAGGUCAGGGUAGUGGUCAAGGUCGGGGAAGUGGUCAAGUAAAAGGUCAGGUAAGUGGUCAUGCUCAGGGAAGUGGCUGGGGAAGUAGUCAAGGUGGUGGUGGUAGUGGCCAGGGAAGUGGUUGGGAAAGUGGUCCUGGUUGGGGAAGUGGUUGGGGAAGUAGUCAAAGUGGUGGUGGUAAGGGAAGUGGUUGGGGAAGUAGUCAAAGUGGUGGUGGUAGUGGUCAGGGAAGUGGUUGGGGAAGUAGUCAGGGAAGUGGUUGGGGAAGUAGUCAGGGAAGUGGUAGUGGUAAGGGAAGUGGUUGGGGAAGUAGUCAAAGUGGUGGUGGUAGUGGUUGGGGAAGUAGUCAGGGAAGUGGUUGGGGAAGUAGUCAAGGUGAUGAAAGUGGUCACUGAAUGACUUUGCAUAACACUUACUGGAGAUCUUUUCAAUUCAAUGCUUUAUUCAUAUGGCAUGUUCUCCCCCCACAAAUAAAGAAUAAAUUGCUUGAUUUGA